rnacentral:lncRNA from 1 species
AAAAAAAAAACCGAAACAAAACCCAAUUCACAUCAAGUUCACUGCACAUCUGGUUUUCUGUAUAGAGGCAAAUCCGAUAUGAAAAGCAUCCCACUUGGUGUCCUCCACUGGCGUCAGCCCCCAACCCGCCCCCAACGAAAGGUUUAAAAACAUCUGUACAAUCAGGCCCAUGCUUUAGAAAGGCAGGUUAGCCAUGUUCCCCGGCCCGGGGAUGUAACUCAUUUGGCUGUCCAGGGAGACGCUCCUCUGCCUCAUCUGGUGCGUGACCAUUAGGUUCUGCUGCGGUGGGGGCCCCAUAAGAGAGCCCUGAGGUGACAUGAUGUGUCCUGUCUGGGCAUACAUCUCCCCCGACACAGACAUGCUCCUCUGCUUGGCCUGCAUCAGCAUGAAAUUCUGCUGGGCCAUUAGGCUCUGCUGCGGAGACAUCAUGCCCUGAUGCAUGCUGUUGCCCAUCAUGCCUUGCUGGGGCGGUAUGCCUGUCCUGCCCAGCAUGGGCACUUGUCCAGGAUGGCACAUGGGCAUGCCGAGUCCCCUCUGCACACCCUGCUGCCCCGGAAGGCUGGGGGCGUUCAUACCUGGCCUCACGGGGGGCUGAUCAGCCAUCAUGUUCUGCAGGUUCAUGAGGUGGAGGUUGGAAGGCUGUGAUUUGGGUGCUUGGCUGUCGCUCUUGGGGAAAUACUGCAAGGUGCUGCUUGGCUUCUCCGAUGGGAUGAUCCUGGAGAGGUCAAACUCGGGGAUGCCCGUGGGUGUGGGGCGGAUGACCUCACUGAGCUCAGGAUCGUUCAGUACCGACGCCACCCCCGGAAGCACAGCUGGGUAGGGCUCACCGAUCCGAGGAGGGAUGUUCUUGCCCAUCAUGUGCUGCUGAGGAGGCAUCUGGCCGGGCUGCUGGACCUCCACCCUGUGGAGCCUGCUGGGACCUACUGCUCGGAAAGCCCUGAGCUCCAAGGAAGGGGACGCAAGGAGGACUUGCAAAGCAUCAACAUCCAAAAGAAGCACUCCAAACUUCAGCUCCCCAAGCCCACAGACAGCACAGAACUAUUCCGGUUCUGCUCAGUGCAAUGCCGCACAGAGGAGUGACCCUUCAGCACAGCCUUCCAGCUCCUCCUGUGAUCACACGCUGCUCAGUGGCAAGGAGGAACAUGACAGAAGUGCCAGCAUCCCAACACAAGUGCUAUCCAGGAGGGACCAACGGGCUCAUCAGUACCACGGAGCAAACUGUUCACAAAGGCUCCGUUUGAGGGGCAGUGGGUGCAUUUGCAUGCUCGUGGCCAAACCAAAUGACUUCUUACCAGUCAAAGAGUCAACAAGUUGAUUUUUCGCUUUGAAAACCACCGACAAUACUUAUCAAAUAGCUUUAAACCCCAGCACCAAGUGGUGCAGCUUGCUGGAAUUCCCCUUCCCCUUCAUACUGUGCACAGAAUGACGAAAGGCAAUCAUUUGCCUAGCUGUCCUCACCAGUGCCACCAGCUAGCGAAGCGUAUCUGGUUGCUGCUUACUGAAAUCACAACUGUGCUAAGACACAGCCUUGCUCGUG